rnacentral:rRNA from 1 species
AGCGAACGCUGGCGGCGUGCCUAACACAUGCAAGUCGAACGGUUCUGUUGGGGGCUUGCUCUCGACAGAGUAGUGGCAAACGGGUGAGUAACACGUGGGUAAUCUUCCUUCGAGUGAGGAAUAACUUCGGGAAACCGGAGCUAAUACCGCAUAACAUCUUGGAACGGCAGUUCUAAGAUCAAAGGGGGCGCAAGCUCCCGCUUGAAGUUGAGCUCGCGUCCUAUCAGCUAGUUGGUGAGGUAAUGGCUCACCAAGGCUCCGACGGGUAGCCGGCCUGAGAGGGUGGCCGGCCACACUGGGACUGAGACACGGCCCAGACUCCUACGGGAGGCAGCAGUGGGGAAUAUUGCGCAAUGGACGAAAGUCUGACGCAGCGACGCCGCGUGGGUGAUGAAGGCCUUCGGGUCGUAAAGCCCUGUUGAGGGAGAGAAAGCUACUGUCGGUUAAUACCCGGCGAGUGGUGAUAGUAUCCCUAGAGAAAGCACCGGCUAACUACGUGCC